GCCCUGGGAAGUUCGGCGGCGCGGAAACACCCCCGCGGGAUCGGGGCACCUUACCUGUCGGCUGGCACUCCUCGGGGAAAGGCUAAUGAUCUGGACUGAUUUUGCCCUCCUCGGGGAAGGUCUUUGCUUCUGGUCCAUGUGCUAUCCAUUUCCCUUUCUGCUGGGAUAUUUCACAAAACCACUCAAAAACCUUCAUCCCUGCUUCGGCUUUCUUCUGGGAAGAGGAUCUGUAUUGAGUCAGUGGAAGCUAUGAGUUAGUCUGGAGCCCAUCCAGGGAUGGGUGUUAAGAGCUUGCUGCAUUUCAAAGCUUUUCUGAAGAAGGCUUCACACACUCCUCUUGUAAAGCAAAUGUCCGUUUUUUACCUCUCAGCCUGGGAUUGCUGACGUGAGACUGAAUAUAGAUACAAGAAUUGCAUGAGCUUCAGCCAUGCAAUCUGAAAUGGGAUAAUCCCUUUUGCAUUUUAUCACAGGAGAGCUCUAAAGAUAACUGUGCUGAUAUUUGUGGAGAGGUCCAAUUUCCCAGCAAUUCAUGCUUCAGAGGAACACACGAGGAAAAACUGAUUACCUACAUUUCAUGCAGCUCAGUGCUUAGUCAGAGUGACACAGGACCCCUGCAUGGAAGACUUGGAAAAAGAGGACUGCUGAACAGCUGCCCAUCACACAGCAUCCUAUGCAACAAUUGAAGCAGGAGUGUGGAAAACACCGUAUGUGAUCAUGUAAUUAACAAAUGUACCAUAAUGCCUCAGCAUAAGGGAGCUAAAUUAAGCUAUGGAUGCAUAAUCUAGCUUGCAUGUAAGAUCUUCAUAAACUGUAUCCCUUUUAUUGUUAUCAAGUGGAUGCUCCAGGCAAUAAACAACACUGUAGUUAGAUUUCCUUGCCUGGGCACACAGCUGCUAAAUUCUGCAUUUAUUAGUGGUGUCUGAGAGGGAGGCUGCUGUUAUUGAUGAGAGACUGUACAAGGAAUGGUUGCAGUAUUGCAACUCCCUCUCAGUAAAAAUGGCUAGGAAAAAUGUAGCACUUAAAAAUUACUGUGCUUGGGGAGGAAUCCACAGCAUUCUACAUGGCACCUGAAUAAGUGGAAUAUAGGAUAGUUUUGAACAGAAUAACUCUAUGGACUGAAUGAUGGCUACUUCCACAUAUUUACCUAAUAUGAUGCUCAGCAUGGUUGUAAUUGUGUGUUUGGUAAUGGCAUUAUUAAGCUGAAUUAAUGGUUCGUACGAUAUAUCUUAAUUCUCAAUAAAGGUGCUUAAAUAUUUCAGGCUCAGAGAGACUACUGGGUGCGAAAGAUAUAUGUGAAAAGGAAAAGACUGAUGCGCCCAUUUUUCAUUUUCUUUAUGGAUGGACCUGAUAACAGUCACCCUGCUUCACAGUCUGCCUGGGAAGAAAUGAUUUACAUUUCUGCUUUGCAGCAUGUUGCCUUCCCUGGGUGAAUGCCAUGCUGGGUAUCAUCCGGCUCACCGCUCCGUGAAGACCAGAUUCCUCACUCUGAGCCAUGACAGGUCUGUGGUCCACCAAGAUAAAACUUAUUAAUGUGGAAAUUUCAUGUACAGUAAGGGGUGUUGGAAGGAGGGCACCCCCCAUGCACUGAAGGAUGCUGCAAUGCCAUCCACAACCUGAGCUGAUUCAUAUUUGUGUUUCUCACAGAAGUGUUAAAAUGUACACAGCCUUCAGUUACCAAAUAAAUGCAAUACCUGCA